rnacentral:lncRNA from 1 species
ACCAAAAUGGUCAGUUGACCACUUUAGGAGUUAUUGCCCUUUAUAGUCAAUUUUUAACCAUUUUUCGUAAAUCUUAGUAAUCUUUUAGAAAAAUCUUCUCCUCUGAAACUACUGGGCCAGAUUUAAACAAACUUGGAAGUAAAAUUGUUGAUCAGGUCACGAUCUAUCUGCCCUGGAAUUUUCAGAUGAAUCGGAUAAUCGGUUGUUAGGUUGCUGCCCCUGAAUUGGUAAUUUUGAGGAAAUUUUGCUGUUUUUUUGUUAUUAUCUUGAAUAUUAUUAUAGAUAAACUGUAAACAGCAAUAAUGUACAGCAAAGUAAGAACUAAAAAUAAGUCAGAAUGACCGAAAUAGUCAAUUGACCCCCUAAGGAGUUAUUGCCCUUCAUAGUCAAUUUUUAACAAUUUUCUUAAAAUUUGAAGAUUUUCAAUAACAUUUUCCACAGAAAGUACUGUUAUAGAUAGAGAUAAUUGUAAGCAGCAAGAAUGUUUAGUAAAGUAAGAUCUACAAACACAUCACCAUCACCAAAACACAAUUUUGUCAUGAAUCCAUCUGUGUCCAUUGUUUAAUAUUAACAUAGACCAAGG